rnacentral:snRNA from 1 species
AUACUUACCUGGCAGGGGAGAUACCAUGAUCACAGAGUUGGUUUUCCCAGGGCGAGGCUUAUCCAUUGUACUCUGGAUGUGUUGACCCCCGCGAUUUCCCCAAAUGUGGAAAACUCGACUGCAUAAUUUGUGGUAGUGGGGGACUGUGUUCAUGCUCUCCCCUG